rnacentral:siRNA from 1 species
UGGCAAUAUCGUCCGUCCUCUCGG